UCCGGUUUAACACCGGCGGUCUCCCUAGAGUGCCCAACUAAAUGGUGGCAACUAGGGACAAGGGUUGCGCUCGUUAAGGGACUUAACCCGACAUCUCACGAUACGAGCUGACGACAGCCAUGCAGCACCUGUCUCACUGCCCCCGAAGGGGAAGUCCUAUCUCUAGGAUUGUCAGUGGAUGUCAAACCCAGGUAAGGUUCUUCGCGUUGCAUCGAAUUAAACCACAUGCUCCACCGCUUGUGCGGGCCCCCGUCAAUUCCUUUGAGUUUUAACCUUGCGGCCGUACUUCCCAGGCGGGGUACUUAAUGCGUUAGCUUCGGCACUGCAGGGGUCAAUUCCCGCAACACCUAGUACCCAUCGUUUACGGCGUGGACUAC
rnacentral:misc_RNA from 1 species